ACUCAAAUGAAUUGACGGGCACCCGCACAAGCGGUGGAGCAUGCUGUUUAAUUCGAAGCUACGCGAAGAACCUUACCUAGACUUGACAUCCCCGGCAAAGCUAUAGAAAUAUAGUGGAGGUUACCCGGGUGACAGGUGGUGCAUGGUUGUCGUCAGCUCGUGUCGUGAGAUGUUCGGUUAAGUCCGAUAACGAGCGCAACCCUCGUCACUAGUUACUAACAUUAAGUUGAGCACUCUAGUGAGACUGCCGGUGACAAACCGGAGGAAGGUGGGGAUGACGUCAAAUCAUCAUGCCCCUUAUGUCUAGGGCUACAGGCGUGCUACAAUGGCCAUUAUAAUGAGAUGCUAUAUCGUGAGGUUGAGCUAAUCUUUAAAGAUGGUCUCAGUUCGGAUUGGAGUCUGCAACUCGACUCCAUGAAGUUGGAAUCGCUAGUAAUCCUAAAUCAGAAUGUUAGGGUGAAUACGUUCCCGGGUGUUGCACACACCGCCCGU
rnacentral:rRNA from 1 species